rnacentral:rRNA from 1 species
UACGUAGGGUGCAAGCGUUAAUCGGAAUUACUGGGCGUAGAGGGUGCGUAGGCGGUUCGUUAAGUCUGUCGUGAAAUCCCCGGGCUCAACCUGGGAAUGGCGAUGGAUACUGGCGAGCUAGAGUGUGUCAGAGGAUGGUGGAAUUCCCGGUGUAGCGGUGAAAUGCGUAGAGAUCGGGAGGAACAUCAGUGGCGAAGGCGGCCAUCUGGGACAACACUGACGCUGAAGCACGAAAGCGUGGGGAGCAAACAGG